rnacentral:rRNA from 1 species
GACGAACGCUGGCGGCGUGCUUAACACAUGCAAGUCGAACGGAAAGGCCCUGCUUGCAGGGUACUCGAGUGGCGAACGGGUGAGUAACACGUGGGUGAUCUGCCCUGCACUUCGGGAUAAGCCUGGGAAACUGGGUCUAAUACCGGAUAGGAGCCAUUUUUAGUGUGAUGGUUGGAAAGUUUUUUCGGUGUAGGAUGAGCUCGCGGCCUAUCAGCUUGUUGGUGGGGUAAUGGCCUACCAAGGCGGCGACGGGUAGCCGGCCUGAGAGGGUGGACGGCCACAUUGGGACUGAGAUACGGCCCAGACUCCUACGGGAGGCAGCAGUGGGGAAUAUUGCACAAUGGGCGCAAGCCUGAUGCAGCGACGCCGCGUGGGGGAUGACGGCCUUCGGGUUGUAAACUGCUUUCGCUAGGGACGAAGCUUUUUGUGACGGUACCUAGAUAAGAAGCACCGGCUAACUACGU